rnacentral:rRNA from 1 species
CUCAGUUCGGAUCGCAGUCUGCAACUCGACUGCGUGAAGCUGGAAUCGCUAGUAAUCGCGGAUCAGCAUGCCGCGGUGAAUACGUUCCCGGGCCUUGUACACACCGCCCGUCACACCACGAGAGUUUGUAACACCCGAAGUCGGUGAGGUAACCUUUAUGGAGCCAGCCGCCGAAGGUGGGACAGAUGAUUGGGGUGAAGUCGUAACAAGGUAGCCGUAUCGGAAGGUGCGGCUGGAUCACCUCCUUUCUAAGGA